rnacentral:snRNA from 2 species
GUGCUCAGUUUGGCAGUACAUAUUCUAAAAUUGGAAUGAUACAGAGAUUAGCAUGGCCCCUGUGCAAGGAUGACCUGCAAAUUUGUGAAACAUUUAAUAUAUUU